GAGAUCAUCAUCAUCAUAAUGAACACGCGGACACGCUUCUUGUUCGAUCAGCCAUUGUGGGUAUGUGCCACAACCCGCCUAUCUAUGCCUGCCAUUUCUUGGCCAAUCCCCUGUUGUGGGCAGGUGCCAUUGCAUGAAAAUUAUCAUCAUCGUAAUGAACACGCAGACACGCUUCUUGGUCGAUCAGCCAUUGUGGGUAUGUGCCACAACCCGCCUAUGUAUACCUGCCAUUUCUUGGGCAAUCCCCUGUUGCGGGCAGGUGCCAUUGUAUGGAGAUCAUCAUCAUCACAAUGAACACGCGGACACGCUUCUUGGUCGAUCCCCCGUUGUGGUUAUGUGCCACAACCCGCCUAUGUAUACCUGCCAUUUCUCGGCCAAUCCCCUGUUGUGGGCAGGUGCCAUUGUAUGGAGAUCAUCAUCAUCACAAUGAACACGCGGACACGCUUCUUGGUCGAUCCCCCGUUGUGGUUAUGUGCCACAACCCGCCUAUGUAUACCUGCCAUUUCUCGGCCAAUCCCCUGUUGUGGGCAGGUGCCAUUGUAUGGAGAUCAUCAUCAUCACAAUGAACACGCGGACACGCUUCUUGGUCGAUCCCCCGUUGUGGUUAUGUGCCACAACCCGCCUAUGUAUACCUGCCAUUUCUCGGCCAAUCCCCUGUUGUGGGCAGGUGCCAUUGCAUCGAGAACAUCAUCAUCACAAUGAACACGCAGACGCGCUUCUUGGUCGAUCAGCCAUUGUGGA